GGAGAGACAGAUCCAGAGAUCAAAUCCUCACCGCAGCAAAUCCGUCCGAUCGAGAGAGAGAGAGAGAGAGAGAGGGUUUUUGAUCUGCGAUCGUAGAUCUUCGAGCAGGAAGGAAACCCUAACCCUAGAUCUGCGACGAGGAAACCCUAACCCUAACCCUAGCAUAUCGAGAUGGGGAAGAAGAAGACGGAGGAGAGUAUAGGAGCGUCGAAACCCAAGGAAGGAGGAGGAGCUGCUCCGAAGAAGAAGAUAUCUGUAUCGGCCAUGCUUGCUAGCAUGGACCAAAAGCCCGAAAAACCCAAGAAGCGCGACAAACCCAAGUCGUCGUCUUCCUCUGCCAAGGCUAAUUCCUACACCGAUGGCAUCGAUCUCCCUCCCUCCGAUGAGGAUGAUGACAUCGAACCUGUCGAUCAAGACUCCGACAGCGGCCCGCCGCAGCCAUCCCGUCGGUCCGCGAGGCCAGCUGCUUCUGUUGAGCUCACUGUAACGGACAAGGAGAUGAAGAAGCGGGAGAAGAAAGAUCAGCUUGCUGCCUAUGCUGCUGAGGUCACACGAAGGGAGGCUCUCCGUGACGACAGGGAUGCCUUUACGGUCGUGAUUGGAAGCCGGGCCUCGGUUCUUGAUGGCGAUGGAGGCGCGGCUGCGGAUGCCAAUGUCAAGGACAUCACUGUUGAGAAUUUCUCUGUGUCUGCCCGUGGUAAGGAGCUGCUUAAGAAUGCGUCGGUUAAGAUCUCUCAUGGGAAGCGGUAUGGCCUUGUUGGCCCCAAUGGCAAGGGGAAAUCAACCCUCUUGAAGUUACUUGCUUGGAGGAAGAUCCCUGUUCCCAAGAACAUUGAUGUGCUGUUGGUCGAGCAGGAGGUGGUAGGCGAUGACAGGACUGCGCUGGAAGCCGUUGUGUCCGCUAACGAAGAGCUCAUCAAGCUUCGCCGGGAGGUGGCUGCGUUGCAGGACUCGUCCGCCGCUGCCAGUGAGGAUGAUGAUGGCGAUGAUGUGGGGGAGAAGCUCUCAGAGCUGUACGAGCAGUUGCAGCUGAUGGAUUCUGAUAAGGCAGACGCUCAGGCAUCCAAGAUCCUUGCCGGUCUGGGUUUCACGAGGAAGAUGCAGGAGCGUGCCACCCGGUCCUUCAGUGGCGGCUGGAGGAUGAGGAUCUCCUUGGCCCGGGCCCUGUUUGUCCAGCCCACCCUACUACUGCUGGAUGAACCCACGAACCAUCUUGAUCUCAGGGCUGUCCUUUGGUUAGAAGAGUACCUUUGCCGUUGGAAGAAGACUCUGGUUGUGGUAUCCCACGACCGUGACUUCCUCAACACUGUCUGCAAUGAGAUUAUCCACCUCCACGAUGAGAAACUCCAUUUCUACCGGGGCAAUUUCGACGAUUUUGAGAGUGGCUAUGAGCAGAAGCGCAAGGAGAUGAAUAAGAAGUUUGAGAUCUAUGACAAGCAAGUCAAGGCUGCAAAGAGGACAGGUAACCGGGUUCAGCAAGAGAAGGUCAAGGACCGGGCCAAAUUCGCUGCUGCGAAAGAAGCUUCGAAAAACAAGGCCAAGGGCAAGGUGGAUGAUGAUGAGCCGGCGCCAGAGGCUCCUAAGAGAUGGAGGGAUUACAGCGUGGAGUUCCACUUCCCUGAGCCCACUGAGCUCACGCCGCCGCUAUUGCAGCUAAUAGAAGUCAGUUUCAGUUAUCCCAACAGGGAGGAUUUCAGGCUAUCAAAUGUUGAUGUGGGCAUCGAUAUGGGGACGAGAGUCGCAAUCGUGGGGCCCAACGGAGCGGGUAAAUCGACUCUUCUCAAUCUGCUCGCUGGUGAUUUGGUUCCCACCGAGGGUGAGGUUCGGAGGAGUCAAAAGCUUAGGAUUGGCAGAUACUCCCAGCAUUUUGUUGACCUCUUGACAAUGGAAGAGACACCAGUUCAGUAUCUCCUCCGGCUCCAUCCGGAACAGGAAGGGCUCAGCAAACAGGAGGCUGUCCGUGCAAAGCUUGGGAAAUUCGGCCUCCCCAGCCAUAACCACCUAACACCUAUUGCCAAGCUGUCAGGGGGUCAGAAGUCGCGCGUUGUUUUCACUUCAAUUUCCAUGUCUAAGCCCCAUAUCUUGCUAUUGGAUGAGCCUACAAACCAUUUAGACAUGCAGAGCAUUGAUGCAUUAGCUGAAGCCCUGGAAGAGUUCACAGGAGGGGUUGUCUUGGUUAGUCAUGACUCGAGGCUAAUAUCUCGUGUAUGUGAGGAUGAAGAGAAGAGUGAAAUAUGGGUUGUAGAAAAUGGGACGGCAAGAACAUUCCCUGGGACGUUUGAGGAGUACAAGGAGGAGCUGCUGAGAGAGAUCAGGGCUGAGGUUGAUGAAUGAUGCAGCCUCCAGUGAGGACUGACAGUGCUUUGAAGUUUGGAUGGUUUUUCCUUUUCUACCUGCUUCACAUUGGUUUCUGCAUCUUUGCUUCUGUGGCCCCUCCUAUUAUUUUCAAAGGGAAAUCUCUGACAGGUAUCUUGCCAGCAAUAGAUGUUCUCGGCGACCACGCCUUGGUUGGGGUACACAUGCAAAUAUGAAACAUGGGUCUGAGAUAUGACCUUUUGAUGAGGUUGGACAUUCAGGUAAUAUGUUGGAGUUGGAACUUCCCAAAUGAGAAAUGGAUUAUGCAUGCAGGUAAUGUAAAAUGCUGGCAGGGUCAGCUCGUGGGUCACGACUGGAAGGAAAAAGGUUUGAUCGAAAACCAUAUACAACUCUGUUGUUUCUUCCUUAAAUGUAGUUGACAUGAAGAUUUUCUAAAUAAAACUUUCAAAAUAUUUCAAUGAAUAGUGUCAAGAGUUCAGAUUGUGUCCA